AUUGAACGCUGGCGGCAUGCUUUACACAUGCAAGUCGAACGGCAGCGCGGGCUUCGGCCUGGCGGCGAGUGGCGAACGGGUGAGUAAUAUAUCGGAACGUACCCAAGAGUGGGGGAUAACGUAGCGAAAGUUACGCUAAUACCGCAUACGAUCUAAGGAUGAAAGCAGGGGAUCGCAAGACCUUGUGCUCCUGGAGCGGCCGAUAUCUGAUUAGCUAGUUGGUGGGGUAAAGGCCCACCAAGGCAACGAUCAGUAGCUGGUCUGAGAGGACGACCAGCCACACUGGAACUGAGACACGGUCCAGACUCCUACGGGAGGCAGCAGUGGGGAAUUUUGGACAAUGGGGGGCAACCCUGAUCCAGCAAUGCCGCGUGAGUGAAGAAGGCCUCGGUUGU
rnacentral:rRNA from 1 species